UGUUCUGAAUGCAAUCCUAGACAAUUGUUAUUUGUAUUCAUUUUUAAGCAUUCGACUGAGAAAACAAUCUGUGCUUCGAGUAAUGUAUUGAAAUUUUAUGAUCACUGGGAAUCAUAGGGAAAUAAGCUGUUCGUCUGAAGACAACUGAAGCGAAAUCACGCGUGCUGGAAUUCUAACUAAACGACCGAUACUUAGUUUAGCAGACGAUAGGUUUGGACAGCGCGCGAGACACGAUUCCAUUAAUUCCUGUAACUCUCGAAUCAUUGGUAUUAUUCUGUGGUUAGUUUCUAUGUAACAGUGUGCUUACUGACUGUGAUUACUCUACUAAAGAAAACCGCGUUGGUUUGUUUCGAUGAUCGACAUUUAUAAUUAUUUAGAUAUCUUAAGAAGUUCCGGAUUUAAACAGACCGACAAACAUUCGGAUUUAAGAAUUCGUCAAACGCAAAAAUGAGUUUGUCAACUACGUUAUCAGCUUCGCAUGCACCGCGACCCAGGAAAGAGUCCAGGUGUUCCACUCAAAGUCCAAGAAAUUGGCCACCGAAUUUCCGACAAGCUUCUGGAUCGGAGGAAGAAAUAGCCAACAGGCAAAAAAGAACAAAUAGAAGCUCUUCAUUCUGCUGCGUCAUCUGUCACCUGACUACCACGUCACUUCCUCUGAUGCUGUUUGCCUUCACGUGUCCCGAAAUUGGAGUACUUUAUCACUGGACUUGAGACAACCACGUGAAUCUGUUUUAUAGGGAAAUUAUUUCUGAUUUGAUGAGGUCAUCAACUGGAACCUCUUUCGUAUUGCACACAAGACUCACGUGCCUGUUUUGUAUCGCGACACUAUGCAAGGUGGUGGAUCUUUCCUAUUAAUGGUUUGUGAUUCGAAACAAUCAUCAUCAAGGCAUCCAAUCAAAACUGGAAUAAAAUGUCGAAUUUUAAUUCAUUAACCACCAUUGUGUAGACUGUAUUGACGCCCAUGGCGAUUAUAGCAGGCUUAUUGUUCAAUCUGAUUAAAAUACAGAUCUAUAUUUCGUUUCGUUUUUUUAUACGUUCGAUGGCCUACACUACCAAUCUGUUUUAAUGCGACAUCCGUAUUUUAUCUCUGUCCAAGAUGACUGACCUUUAAAAGGUCAGACCGCUGUAGUUCUAAGGGUGACGUCAUAUCACAAUGUUUACCAACAAAGCAAGAUGGCAUCGAUAACGCCAAAAAAGAUUACUAUGAACUGGUACGGGCAGAAUUAUAUCGUUUUACCCAUUUUACGCCUCCGCGUGCUAUUUUCUGUACCUAUUUACGCUAAAUAUGGAAUAUUUUUUAUCAAGAUAUACUUCAAACACCUUUAUUUAUUUUUCUAAUACUAAAAAAAAAUGUUUCAGAAUUUAAUUUGUCGAAAGAAAAAAGUUAAUAUUUUGUAGUCAUUAAGUCACAUCGAUGUCAUCCUUAUCAGUGAUUGUAGCGGCCAAGCGAAUAUUCACUGCGGAUCAGUGUGCUACACUACAAGACAAGUAAAACGAAAUUUUAAACUAUAAAAACGAAACGAAAUAGGAUCUGUGUUUUAACCAAAUUGGCCUAUUGUUGUUUAUUCUAACGAUUGUAAAUGUUCACAUUUUUUGGUUUGCUAAAUAUAUGUUGUUUGUAUUUUUUACUCUUAUAAGCAUUUCUUUCAUCAUAAAUUAUUAAUCUUGGUGGCGAAUUUUGCGCAAUGAAUUAAGCGAAUGAAAUAUUGAAUUAUUGAUUGGAUUAACUUCGAAUAUCUAUUGGGUCUAGCCCCAUUACAUCAUUGACUACUUCAAUUACGGAGCCUUACCAAGAAAUUGAUGCUGAAGCCCAAAUGUCGUCACUCGAGCUCUGAGCUGAAAUUUUUAGCUACAUGGUUUAAAAUGCCAUGAGUGUGAAAUCAUAUUCCAAAUUUCUAGUAAAUGAAACUUCAGUGAACUAUCGAAUCUUGUCGCAAGAAUAAGCUACAACCCAAUAGAAAUAGAAAUAUGUAUUUUACUUUACCCAGAAGUAAGCAGUGUCGUGAAAUUUUAGAUGGUGUAAUUUAGUGGAUAUUUUUAUGUAAUAACUGAAUGUGUGUUUAAAUGUGGUCGUAUAUUUUACAUAGUUAGCGCCAUUUUGAUUCGGCCACCAUUUGAAAAUCAUAAAAGAUAAAUAAUUUGGCCUAAUUAUUCUUCACUUUAAUUUCACGGAUAAAAUGAAGACAGAUCAAGGAUUUUCAGCAAGGCGUGGAUUGGAGGUGGGGCAGAAAUGUCAGAUCUCUAUACUGAAGUGUUGCAGUGACAUUUAAUGAACUUCAAAUGUGCGAAAUUUAGCGGAUAUGAUUACGUUUUUUGAUGAAUGAAAUAACCGUAACAAUGGAUAAUCGAGACUUUAUUUAUUAUCGUACCAACGGAAGUAAUGACGAUCGAGGCUAGGCUAACAUUGAAUCACUAAUAUCUCCGUUCAGAGUGAAGCGAUUUGACUGAAAUAUUCAGCAUAUUCUGUUUUCAUUAUCUAUUUUUUAACUAGCUAGUAUAGUGAGAACUGUCUAGACUACUAGCCCCCACACCACCCCCACCAAUUACUUUAAACGAUGGGACAUUAUAUAUUGGAAUUACACAUUCUAUAGAAUACACAUUACCGUUAUUACCUAGAAAUGGUUCCACUACAUGAUGUCUUCCAUCGUGCCCCAGCCACAGUAGCGGGCCGUCCUAAGACCCUCCUUUCAGCAAGUGUUGCAGUCAUUUGACUACAAAAAGUCACUGGCCUAUAACUCCCGUAAUUUCCAAUUACACUGGCCCCAAACUGUACUGUACAUAGCUUAACAUAUAAUAAACCAAUUCCCAUUGAAAUAAAGGUGAAACCAUGCCGCAUAAUUAUAUGAGUUGAUUAAAUCCAAUUGCGAUGCGAAAUUUCUGUUGAUUUUAAAAUGGCCGUCGAACUAGAAUUACGCGAUUUUAUGUCACUCGAAAAUAUAGAAUAACUGUUCGAAAAGAUAAGAUUUAAGAUUUCAGUGUUCCACUCUUCACUAUUUGUAACACAAUUACUUAUUUCCAUGCAAACUGAUAUGUGUUAAACAUUUGGCAAUUGAAAAUAAUUUUACUUGCUCAAAGCCUCGAAAAGUGUGUCAAUUGUAUCCAUAAAUAAGAAUUAUCACGGCUACAAAUAUUGCAGCUAUUCAUUACCGAGCGACGUUUUGACAAGGAUUCAGUCAUGUUUCUGGAGCAACGACUGCAAGAUGUACGGUGUAAGUAGUUAAAGCGAGAUCGAGCCUUCUAUCGAAGACCGCAUUCAGUAGACUUAUCAAACUAUGAUCAAGGACGGUUCCAGAGACCAUGGAUAGGAGAGUGGUGGGCGCACGGGCCUCCACCGGAAAAUUUCGAAAACUAGAAGCCCGGAAAUGCCAUUUCUCGUGAUCUGAGACAAGAAUCCGGUUCAAAAAUAAUGAAUUAUAAUGGGACUGUUUCAGUCAGAAAUCCAGAUAGGAGGGGCGUGCGCCGGGUGCGCUUCCCAUUAGAUCCGCCCUUGAUGGUUUAAUGUCUCAGGAUUUUCUAUAAAUGUAUUAUUGCUUGAUUAAGACUAAAUAAUCGAAGUGGAAACGUCACUCAGUAAUGAACAGUUUGUAUUCCAUAGAAAGAACAAAUGAAAUGGGGUUUAACGUCCUACUUUACUGCACCAACUGGGAUAAUGAAAUCGGGGUUACGGCAUACAGUGUGUCGGGGGGGGGGGGGAUUUUUACCGGACAACGGCGCUACGACUUACUACAAUUUCGAAUUCCAACUGUCAGGGGAUCUUUUAUGUGCACGACAAUGCGUACAUCCGAACGACUAUACACUAUGCUAUGACGGUAAAACUGGUGAUGUAUGACAGAUCGUGUAAAUUCAUCUCCUAUAAGCCUAUAUGUUUGUAUUACUAUAAAUAUAUUAUGUCACUGUUAUAAUAUUACAAAUAAAAUUUACUUCUAAUCUGUU